UACAGAGGUGUCUAGCGUUGUCCGGAAUUACUGGGCGUAAAGGGCGUGUAGGUGGGCAGGUAAGUCGGAUGUGAAAUCACUGGGCUUAACCCAGUAACUGCAUCCGAAACUGCUUGUCUUGAGUGCAGAAGAGGAGAGUGGAAUUCCCAGUGUAGCGGUGAAAUGCGUAGAUAUUGGGAGGAACACCAGUGGCGAAGGCGGCUCUCUGGUCUGCAACUGACACUGAAACGCGAAAGCCAGGGGAG
rnacentral:rRNA from 1 species